UGCGGCUUAAUUUGACUCAACACGGGAAACCUCACCCGGCCCGGACACGGACAGGAUUGACAGAUUGAUAGCUCUUUCUCGAUUCCGUGGGUGGUGGUGCAUGGCCGUUCUUAGUUGGUGGAGCGAUUUGUCUGGUUAAUUCCGAUAACGAACGAGACUCUGGCAUGCUAACUAGUUACGCGACCCCCGAGCGGUCGGCGUCCCCCAACUUCUUAGAGGGACAAGUGGCGUUCAGCCACCCGAGAUUGAGCAAUAACAGGUCUGUGAUGCCCUUAGAUGUCCGGGGCUGCACGCGCGCUACACUGACUGGCUCAGCGUGUGCCUACCCUACGCCGGCAGGCGCGGGUAACCCGUUGAACCCCAUUCGUGAUGGGGAUCGGGGAUUGCAAUUAUUCCCCAUGAACGAGGAAUUCCCAGUAAGUGCGGGUCAUAAGCUUGCGUUGAUUA
rnacentral:rRNA from 1 species